rnacentral:sRNA from 1 species
UGCUACCAGUGCAGGGAUAGGGGUGGGCCAGUUGUCACCCGUCUCCCUCUGAGCUCUCCCUUCCCACUGCUCUGUUCUCUGAAGAUACCAGGGUCCUGUACUGCUGAUCCGGAGAACCAAGGAUGAGAUCAUCACCACCACGUGAGUGCGUGGGAAUCUCGGCCCUCAGGAACCCCAGAGAUGGCCAGGAACUUGUCCCUUCUACCUCUGCCCACCAGAAACCUGGGUAUCUAGACCCUUCCUCCUAACCUCCAGCCCCUCCAGGGUACAUUCUUCUUACCCCCAGGGUUCCUGAGGACAUCAUGUCCAACCGAGGCAAUGACCUCCUGCUGAAGCUCCUGCAGCAUCGGUAUCCCCGGGUGAUGGCAGAGGAGGGUCUUCGAGUGGUGAGGCAGUGGUUGGAGGCCUCCUCACAGCUGGAGGAAGCCUCAAUUUAUAGCCGAUGGGAGGUGGAAGAGGACUGGUGUCUGUCUGUCCUCCGCUCCUACCAGGCAGAACACGGGCCCGACUUCCCCUGGAGCGUGGGGGAGGACAUGAGUGCAGAUGGACGGCGGCAGCUGGCUUUGUUUCUGGCUCGGAAGCAUCUGCACAACUUUGAGGCCACUCACUGCACCCCACUCCCAGCCCAGAACUUCCAGAUGCCCUGGCAUCUCUAGGGACCAACUGGGACUCAUUAUGGAAGAAUGGGGUGAGAGGAGACAUGAGGAAAGACCCUCUUAUUUGUGAUUCUCUGUGUUCAUGUUGCUGUUUAUAGUUUGUGGAAAGUGGGGGACCAUCCCCCUUCUCACCACUGUUCCUCUUGCACGUUUCCCCUCAUUCAUGUGGCUGUACUUAACCUUCUCCAACAUACAUCCUGCAUUACAUGAAUGGAUUAUUCCUAAUAAUUAAUAAAAAGGUAUUUUUUCUACUAUCU